UACGUAGGGGGCAAGCGUUGUCCGGAAUCAUUGGGCGUAAAGCGCGUGUAGGCGGCCCGAUUAGUCCGCUGUGAAAGUCCAGGGCUCAACCCUGGGAUGCCGGUGGAUACUGUCGGGCUCGAGUCCGGAAGAGGCGAGUGGAAUUCCUGGUGUAGCGGUGAAAUGCGCAGAUAUCAGGAGGAACACCAAUGGCGAAGGCAGCUCGCUGGGACGUGACUGACGCUGAGACGCGAAAGCGUGGGGAGCAAACAGG
rnacentral:rRNA from 1 species